rnacentral:rRNA from 1 species
UACGUAGGGUGCGAGCGUUGUCCGGAAUUACUGGGCGUAAAGAGCUCGUAGGUGGUUUGUCGCGUUGUCCGUGAAAACUCACAACUCAAUUGUGGGCGUGCGGGCGAUACGGGCAGACUGGAGUACUGCAGGGGAGACUGGAAUUCCUGGUGUAGCGGUGGAAUGCGCAGAUAUCAGGAGGAACACCGGUGGCGAAGGCGAGUCUCUGGGCAGUAACUGACGCUGAGGAGCGAAAGCGUGGGGAGCGAACAGG